UUGAACGCUGGCGGCAGGCCUAACACAUGCAAGUCGAACGGUAACAGGAAGAAGCUUGCUUCUUUGCUGACGAGUGGCGGACGGGUGAGUAAUGUCUGGGAAACUGCCUGAUGGAGGGGGAUAACUACUGGAAACGGUAGCUAAUACCGCAUAACGUCGCAAGACCAAAGAGGGGGACCUUCGGGCCUCUUGCCAUCGGAUGUGCCCAGAUGGGAUUAGCUAGUAGGUGGGGUAACGGCUCACCUAGGCGACGAUCCCUAGCUGGUCUGAGAGGAUGACCAGCCACACUGGAACUGAGACACGGUCCAGACUCCUACGGGAGGCAGCAGUGGGGAAUAUUGCACAAUGGGCGCAAGCCUGAUGCAGCCAUGCCGCGUGUAUGAAGAAGGCCUUCGGGUUGUAAAGUACUUUCAGCGGGGAGGAAGGGAGUAAAGUUAAUACCUUUACUCAUUGACGUUACCCGCAGGAGAAGCACCGGCUAACUCCGUG
rnacentral:rRNA from 1 species